GCGCCCCUCACCUGCGAGCCGGGGGCCCGAGCGGGGCUGACGGGCAGCGUCGAGGUGGCCAAGAUACUACUGAGGUGUUAGAUUAACACAGCGAGGUCACCACGGAACACACCGUAGCCGUUCGUGAGCCACGACCGUGAUCUAGACAAGUGCUCGUGAAUGCGGGUCUGAAGCCUUCAAGUGGAUUAUACUGCAUAGAGAGACUUACCGGGGGGCACUGAGCCAGCUUAUCUGCUGCUACCAUCUGAACAUUGAGGUUUCUCUAACGCCUGGCUUCACAGAAGAUAGCUGAUGUUCCCUGCUUCUACGUUUAAUCUGCCCCGGUAUAUUGUUUAAAACAGGAAAAGAUAAUCCAGUCCCCUAUAGAUAUGUAAUUCAGAAAAGGAGUAUUUUAGUAGCCUUUUCAGAUAAUUGUGGAUAUCUUUCUUUGAUACUACAGUAAACAAGUG